GAUGAACGCUCGCGGCAGGCCUAACACAUGCAAGUCGAGGGAGGAGCUUUCGGGCUUCGACCGGCGUACGGGUGCGUAACGCGUAUACAAUCUGCCUUUCACAUAGGGAUAGCCCGAAGAAAUUUGGAUUAAUACCUAAUGGUAUAUAGGAGUGGCAUCACCUUUAUAUUAAAGCUGAGGCGGUGAAAGAUGAGUAUGCGUUCUAUUAGCUAGUUGGAGAGGUAACGGCUCCCCAAGGCGACGAUAGAUAGGGGUUCUGAGAGGGAUAUCCCCCACACUGGUACUGAGAUACGGACCAGACUCCUACGGGAGGCAGCAGUGAGGAAUAUUGGACAAUGGUCGGAAGACUGAUCCAGCCAUGCCGCGUGCAGGAAGACGGCCUUAUGGGUUGUAAACUGCUUUUGCAGGGGAAGAAUAAGGAGUACGUGUACUUUGAUGACGGUACUCUGCGAAUAAGCAUCGGCUAACUCCGUG
rnacentral:rRNA from 1 species